rnacentral:rRNA from 1 species
GACGAACGCUGGCGGCGUGCUUAACACAUGCAAGUCGAACGCUGAAGCUUGGUGCUUGCACUGGGUGGAUGAGUGGCGAACGGGUGAGUAAUACGUGAGUAACCUGCCCUUGACUCUGGGAUAAGCCUGGGAAACUGGGUCUAAUACUGGAUACGACAUGUCACCGCAUGGUGGUGUGUGGAAAGGGUUUUACUGGUUUUGGAUGGGCUCACGGCCUAUCAGCUUGUUGGUGGGGUAAUGGCUCGCCAAGGCGACGACGGGUAGCCGGCCUGAGAGGGUGACCGGCCACACUGGGACUGAGACACGGCCCAGACUCCUACGGGAGGCAGCAGUGGGGAAUAUUGCACAAUGGGCGAAAGCCUGAUGCAGCGACGCCGCGUGAGGGAUGACGGCCUUCGGGUUGUAAACCUCUUUCAGCACGGAAGAAGCGAAAGUGACGGUACGUGCAGAAGAAGCGCCGGCUAACUACGUG